rnacentral:misc_RNA from 1 species
GGAUGAUAUGGGGUUGAUAGCAAUUGGUAGAGGGUGUUCAAGAUUAACAAAGUUUGAGAUUCAAAGUUGUAAGAAGAUCACGAUGAGAGGAAUGAGGACGCUAGCUUCUUUGCUUUGGAAAAGUCUGGUUGAUGUCAGGAUAUCUUGCUGCAAGAAUCUUGGAGCCUCUUCUUCGUUGAAAGCAUUGGAACCAAUACAAGAACGUAUCCAGAGGCUUCAUAUUGAUUGUGUGUGGGAUAGUGUUGAAGAAAUUGAAAAUCUUAAUGGUGUUGAAUACGGAUUUGAUCUCAAUAAGACCAAUGGAGGCGAGGCAUCAACUCAUCCUAAUGGAUCUGGGGACACAUUUGGAUCCAUGGAUGAUGAUAUCGUGUUUAACAGGAAUAAACGAUGCAAGUAUGGUUAUGAUCUUAAUAGUGUUUGCAUGGAAGACAAUGGCCAUGGGAAUGGUUUUGGUGGACGGACAUGGGACCGGCUGCAAUACCUCUCACUUUGGAUUGGUGUCGGUGAUCUUUUAACUCCUUUAGCAGCUGCAGGUCUUGAACAUUG